UACGUAGGUGGCAAGCGUUGUCCGGAAUUAUUGGGCGUAAAGCGCGCGCAGGCGGUUUUUUAAGUCUGAUGUGAAAGCCUACGGCUUAACCGUGGGGUGUCAUUGGAAACUGGAAGACUUGAGUGCAGAAGAGAAGAGCGGAAUUCCACGUGUAGCGGUGAAAUGCGUAGAGAUGUGGAGGAACACCAGUGGCGAAGGCGGCUCUUUGGUCUGUAACUGACGCUGAGGCGCGAAAGCGUGGGGAGCAAACAGG
rnacentral:rRNA from 1 species